UAUUUACUGUAAAUUGAUUUUUAUCUACCUGAGUACUAUGAAUAAAAAGAUUUAAAACUCAAAGAGCUUGGCGGUGCUUUAGACCACUUAGGGGAACCUGUCUCGUAAUCGAAAAUCCACGUUACACCUAACCUUUUAUUGUCAUCAGUUUGUAUACCGUCGUCGUCAGGUAACUUUAAAAAAUAUAGAAGUUAGCCAAAAAAUUUAUCUAAAUUUAGACGUCAGAUCAAGGUGCAACCUAUAAAAAGGAGAGGAUGGGUUACAAUUAAAAUUUAUAAUACGGAAGGCUAGCUGAAACCUCUAGUCCGAAGGAGGACUUAAAAGUAAAAGUUAAAUUAUAUAAAUACAUUGAAUUUGGCUCUGAAGCGUGC
rnacentral:rRNA from 2 species